GACAAGAAUGAGGAAGAGAUUUGACCCAGAAUCAAGAAGCAGAAGUUGCAGCUUCACACCUUGUGACUCAAGCCACACGGCCACGUUCCUCUCAAGGUGCAAAAUGAUCUCAACUUACAACAGCUUCACAUCUGAAUUAUUUCAUUUCACAGGGACUUUAUACCAAGGUUCUCCACGUUGCACAAAUAUCACUACACCUUCCAGAACCCUGCUCAGGACGUCUUAGUCAUGCAUUCACAAUGGGAACUGGAAGUAAAAAGCAUUGAGACUGUUCCACUGACAAUUGUUUUACUUCUUUUUUAUCUUCAUUAGCCGGCAUCAGGCAACUUUAACCAACCUCCUAGGCAGUUGUCAGUGAUCACUGUCAUAUUAAAGUGCAUGUUAUAGAUUGUAAAUUACUUUCAUGUUAUUUUUCCUUUAUCUUACACUUACUUACAGCAUUGUGUUGAUUUUUAAACUAUAUGGAAAGGGAAGUUACAUGAGCUAUAAAUUCCCCAUUACAUGGUCAAGCCGCAUUACAAAAGACUUGCUAUAUUA
rnacentral:lncRNA from 1 species